rnacentral:rRNA from 1 species
CUACGGGAGGCAGCAGUGAGGAAUAUUGGUCAAUGGGCGGAAGCCUGAACCAGCCAUGCCGCGUGCAGGAAGGAGGCCCUACGGGUUGUAAACUGCUUUUACCCGGGAAGAAACCGCCCCCUGUGGGGGGCGUUGCCGGUACCGGGGGAAAAAGGAUCGGCUAACUCCGUGCCAGCAGCCGCGGUAAUACGGAGGAUCCGGGCGUUAUCCGGAAUUACUGGGUUUAAAGGGUGCGUAGGCGGGGCUUUAAGCCGGCGGUGAAAUGCAGCGGCUCAACCGCUGGAAUGCCGUUGGGACUGGGGCUCUUGGAUACGGUCGGGGCGGGUGGAACUCGUGGUGUAGCGGUGAAAUGCAUAGAUAUCACGAGGAACGCCGGUAGCGAAGGCAGCUCGCCGGGCCGGUAUUGACGCUGAGGCACGAAAGCGUGGGGAUCGAACAGGAUUAGAUACCCUGGUAGUCCACGCCGUAAACGAUGAUGGCUGGGUGUUGGCGAUAGACGGUCAGCGCCUGAGGGAAACCAUUAAGCCAUCCACCUGGGGAGUACGGCCGCAAGGCUGAAACUCAAAGGAAUUGACGGGGGCCCGCACAAGCGGAGGAACAUGUGGUUUAAUUCGAUGAUACGCGAGGAACCUUACCCGGGCUUGAAAGUUAGCGACGAUUCUUGAAAGAGGAUUUCCCUUCGGGGCGCGAAACAAGGUGCUGCAUGGUUGUCGUCAGCUCGUGCCGUGAGGUGUCGGGUUAAGUCCCAUAACGAGCGCAACCCCUACGUCCAGUUGCCAGCGGGUAGAGCCGGGGACUCUGGAUGGACAGCCGGCGUAAGCCGCGAGGAGGGGGGGGAUGACGUCAAAUCAGCACGGCCCUUACGUCCAGGGCUACACACGUGUUACAAUGGCCGGUACAGCGGGAGGCGACCCCGGGAGGGGGAGCGGAUCCCGAAAGCCGGUCGUAGUUCGGAUCGGAGUCUGCAACCCGACUCCGUGAAGCUGGAUUCGCUAGUAAUCG